GAAAAUUGAAAAACUCGCUUACCAUUCCCCAAACAAGGAAGGGAAACCCUCCUAGAGCAUAUAGCAAAACUCCAAGUGCAAUUGGAUGAAGAAUGUAGGUACCCUGAAGAAACUUGUAGAAGGGCUGCUGCCGUAGAUCCCCAACAUUGGUUGGUUCUCCACACUGCAAAUGUUCCAUUGAUACAAAACAUUAAGAAUAUCAAUUCGUUCUGUGCAUAUGUGAGUGCUUGCAUGUUUGAGAAAGAGAGAGAUAGAGUUACCCUUUCAACAACGGUGUCGGUAUCAAAGAGCCAGCUCAUGUGGCUGAACCAAAACCCUUCAAUGGGGCUAUGGGGGUCUCUGUCUGAAUCACAAAAUUGGUGGUGGUACCUAUGUGUGCUUACCCAGUCAAUUGGAUUCCCCUGCAAACACCAAAACCAACAAUCAUAUAACAAUCAAAUGAUACUGCCAUGUCCAUGACAAUAUUCCUCAAAAAUAUUUAAAGCUACCAACCUGAAGUGCCUGAACUCCACAAUAAGCAAAGAAGUACUCAAGCCAUUUUGGAACCUUGAAGCUUCUAUGAGAAAGAUUCCUAUGAAAAGACAAUGUAAUCCCCAGAAGUCCUGUCACCCCAUAGAGUCCCACAGCAAGCCAAAAAGCGGGCCAAUUGAAAUGAAAAGGUGCAAAAAGGCUGAGCAAAUGCAUGCCUACAACAACACCAGCAGUGGCCAUAUCCAAAGUGUUCCAUUUUCUUCCCCAAAACACUUCCUUCUUCCUUUGCACCACCACAUUAGAUAACAAAAUUCUACCCGAGGUUUUCCCUUCUGGGUCGGGCUCGUUUGCUCCAACUGACACCCCAUUAGCCAAUGCCAACACUUUCCUAUUGCUGUAACUCCUAUUCAAACGAGUGAUAAAACUCGCCUGCAGAGGACUCUGCUCUCCGUUUAUUUGAUUGAAUUUUGGGUUUUGAUGGCCAAAGUUUAAGACUUUGCAAGAGCAAGAUCUGGUUUUUAUUGUUGUCGCUCUUUGAGGAGGUGAUACAGCUAAGGAUUUUGGCUUUGACAAUAACGAUGUGAUUAAAGCCAUUGGGUCUCAAUUGGUGGGGUUCUCAAGAAAAAAUUGGGUUUUUGUUGGGUUUUAUAAAAGUUGUGGUUGGUUUGUCCUUUUCUUUUUGAAAGAUGGUUUAUUUAUUGAACCGAUUACUUAGAAUGCCGUAACAACUCUUGAACCAGAGUGGUAGAAGACCUCUAUUAACGUAAGAAGACUAGAUUUGGUGAGAAGGUUGGUUUGUACUUAAAACGAUAAAAUUUGAAGAUUUUGAGUUAUUGUCAAAGCACGAAGUAUAUAAAGCGGGAAAAAGCGUGGAUUAUGGAAAGAGAAAGUGAGCUAACGAAAAGGACAAAGGAGAUAAAAGCUGAUAAGGUGAUCUUGUUUAGAUGGGAAGAUGUGAGGUGAAAUGAGACUCAGAUAUUCUUUUGCUAGGAUUUUGUUUUAGCCCAUUAAUUUUCUAAAUUAUCUACUUGGAUGGAUAGAUAUUUUCUUUUCUCUUUCCUUUUUAUAGGAGUUCUUUCUCUAGUGCCCUUUUGUCUGAUUCUAUCCUUUCUUGCCUGGUUGACAGAUAAGGCUACUCUCUCGCUAGGAAGUUAAAGCAGCAGAAAAACCGGUGAGAGAAAUGGCAGCAACCGCGUCAAUCUUUACGUCUCCGACUCAACCCUUUUCGGCCACGCGGUCGGUGAGAGGUACAAGUGCCAAGCCAUCUAUUUCAAAGCCGAGUAGGGAGUCUCUUUAGACCUGCUUUUUUAACACCCAGUUAGGGAUCUUUGAUUGCUUACAUCGUUUUUCACGUUUUUGGUUGGGGAUUUGAGUUCAGCUCCCUUGAGCUGAAAUUGGGUACAAAUCUUAAUCACCAAUGGUGUGUUCGGCUUAGGUACUCUUGCUUAACUGGAAGCAACUGUACCCUUAGUAAGCAGUCAAGAGGAUCUUUCUUUAAAUGUUAUUAAAUUACAAAUCAUGGUAACUAGAUUAUCUUGCGAGAUAUAUUGAAAACAAUGGAAUUAUCCAAUCAUUUUGCCUUCAAGUUAAGAGUUAUUUCAUGCUUGUCUGUGUCAUGAUUCAUGCUCUGGUUUUUAUGCGUAAGUUGGCAUUUCUACUUUCUUAAAAGCUUGCAAUUUUAUUAACCGGUACAGUUGGUUUGCUAGGUCUCUGGUUUUGAGGAAGUGUAGAAUGGCAAAUAGGAAUCCUUGGGCUAUGACCUGUUUUAGAUUUGAUUAUUUAGGGCGCAACUUUCCCUUAAAUUUCAAUCCUGUAUUGCGCUGCAUAAUUUUGUACACUUCUAAGCUGAAAUUAUAUCAUUUGAGUCAGAAAAUCCAAAUAUCAUUGAGCAAGUCAUUUACUUCGUAGUCUCCAUCAAAUGAACUAGAGCUUCUAAAAUGAGUUGGUAACCUAGGGCUUUGGAGUUGGCAGUUGCUUCAUUCUGUUUAUAUCUGCAAUAAAUUCUAUGUGCCAGAACAAACUAAUGUUGUUGUGACUCAAAAUGCCAAGUAAAAUAGCUAGACCUUAUGCCUCAAAUUUCUGAUGCCAAACAGUUUUGCAAUUUUUUCAGAUGCAGCUAGUAGCUUUAUGGGUGCAUCAUUGCCAAGGGAUUUUGCAAAGACGAAAAGAUUAGUCAAGAUAAGUGUAAAAGUGACUGCAGCUGCUACUGUUACAAAAAAUCCUAUGGAACAAAUUAAAGAGUAUGGACUUUAGUUUCCUUCUAUUUUUGCUGUUUCAUUAAGCUUAAAGUGUUCUGGCUUUGGAGUUUUCUUUGAAAAGAAUUGUUGAGUUGGGUUUUUGCAUUUUAAGGAAUAAUAUCUUCUUUGGGAGUGGAAAAUUGGAGGAAUUCACCCUCUACAUGUUUCUACGUGCAGCAUGCUGAAGUUAUAUGUAUCUCAAGUUCUAAACUGCAAUGUGGUGUUGUUUGAAAUUUUUUAAUCAUUCAAACAGAAUAAUCUGAAGAUUCCUGCCCAACAGGUAUGCACUCCCUUCGUGGGCUAUGUUCGAACUGGGGAGGGCUCCGGUAUAUUGGAAAACCAUGAAUGGUCUUCCUCCAACUUCUGUGAGUGCAGCAUUGCUGGUUUUAUUAUUAUUAUUUUUGCUUUAUGUUGCUUGAAAGCAAGGGCAGGCUGUUGGCUGUUGCAACUCUUUUCUAUAGAGAUUGUCUUUUUUGACAGGGAAAGAAGGUGAAGCUUUUCUACAAUCCAGCUGCAACUAAACUUGUUCCAAAUGAAGAAUAUGGCAUUGCUUUCAAUGGUAAUUUGUGCUCAUGCACUCUUAGCUUUAAUAAUAUAAUUAACCAAAUUGGUUUCUGUAGAUUUCAAUAUAUAAAAGUCUGUACAAAUAAGAAGUACUACCUGUGAAAGGACUCUAGUUAUAUUAUAGACUGUAACACUAUGGCUUCUGUUAUGUCCUAAAAGUAUAAAACAAAUUUAUUCAUAAAAUGAAGUAUUUAAUAGGCUUGUUGUUACCAGUAUUACCAAGGUUAUUUAAUAAAUUAAGCAGUUUUUCUUCAUUUGGUUCUAUAGCAACACUCAGAAAUUUGGUUCUUGACAUUAUUACAGAAAAUAGGAACAUUUUGAUUUUCUUCUGCAUUAUCAGGAGAUUGCCAUCAAAAACGGCAAAAAGAAAAGAAAAUGAAAGUAGGGGGGAUAGAAUAACUUGUAAUCAUUUCAAAUACCUCACAGUUGAAUGACCUUGGUUCAUGGCAUGACUCAAAUGGAUCUUUGAUAAUUUCCACAAUUUGUUUUCCAUAGCUCAGCUACCAUUGGUUAAGUGAGUGGUGCCUGUAGUUCUUUCUUCAGUGGUUUAUCUAGGGGUUCUAGUAUUUGAUUCAUUGUUGGGUCGACUAUAGGUUUUGUAUGCAAGUAGAUAAUUGAAGUCCUUGGCUAACAACUUACUCAACUGUAACUCUGCAGGAGGUUUCAAUCAGCCUAUCAUGUGUGGUGGUGAACCGAGAGCAAUGCUGAGGAAAUCUCGAGGCAAGGCUGAUAGUCCAAUAUACACCAUCCAGAUAUGCGUUCCUAAGCAUGGUUUGUAACAUUCACAAAUUUUUUUCUCUUGGACAGUUCAACUCUCUCCUCAACUCCUAAAAUCUACUUUUACUUUGGCAGCUGUGAACUUGAUCUUCUCAUUCACAAAUGGAGCCAAUUGGGAUGGUCCUUACAGACUACAGUUUCAAGUUCCGAAGUCUUGGCAAAACAGAGCAAUUGAAUUCUUUAACCAGGUAAAUUUAUGCAUACUUGGGCUCUAUGAUUCUUCUGCCUCUAGGUUGAAGAUAAUUGUCCUGUGCUAUGAACACAUAUUACAUUUCGCAUUCGUGAUUGUCAUACCUGUAACUAUUUGGAAGUGAAGCAAAAUUUGGCAAGCCAUGCAUUACGAAAAAAAUGUUUCUUCUAUGUUGCUGGCAGGGGGUAGGGAAGGUGGAUCUGGAAAGUAAAUUUGAAGAAUUCAUUUUUUAUUUUGACCUAAACUAGAGAACUCAUUGCCAAACCAUGCAAUAUUGUGAAUUUCUCUGUUUCAUUUUACACUUGAGUUAAUUUCUAUUUGGAAUGAUUGAAUUGGUUCAGACUAGACAAGUGAGAGAAUAAUGUAACCUGAGACAUGUGAAAUCUUGUAUCACUGUGGCAGGGGCUGGCAGAGGAGUUGAGUCAAGAAGGUGCAUGUGACAGGGCAAUCUUUCCAGACACAAAUAUUGUUGUUGAUAGAUGUGUUAUGAUCGGGAACUUAUCCAAAGAAGGAGUAAAUAAACUUCUUAUCUGUGUUCUUCUUUAUUCUACAUCUUCAUUUCGUUAUUCUGCAUCUAAUUGCUAGCAUCAACUUUAUGUAUGAACUCUACAAUGGAACACUCUUGCAGGGUGAUCGUUGCAGCCUUGAUCUAGUUCCUGGAUGCAUGGAUCCUAACUCCUACUUAUACAACCCUCUCGCUAAUGUAGAUGACGGGUCAUGCCUAAUUGACUCUGAUUCUGAGGACUAGUGUCAGCCAGCCGCAUCUCAUUCACUCAUCUCAUAUCAUUUAAUACAAUCAUUUGGCGGAGGUCUAGAGUUACCAUGGCAGACUAUUUGCCGAAUGACUCCCUGCUCUUAACCGCUAGUCCUAUAGGGCAUUUGCCCUGCCUGUGACUUCUCAAGAAAUUCGAAUAUAAAGCUGCAAAUAUUCAUAUGAAUGAGGUACAGGAUAAUUAUAUUACAAAUUGGCUAUCAUCUCCACCCUGACAUUAGUUGCAGUAUAUCGUAACAGUUGUGACGAUUGAAAUGAGACAAUUCUUGUAUAGAAUGUAGCAUAAGGCAUAUAUCCUUAAAAUAAGUUCACCGCAUGAUUCCACUGAGUUUGACUUGCUUGGUGGCAAGGAUCUUUAGAGCUUUCUUUUUUAUGCUUAAGUAGGGUUUGGAGUUGGGAUUACAAUUAGAUAACAAUAUUUUAUUGACAGUUUGAUAAUAUCAGAAUGUAGAUUAGAAACCCUGCAGAAUCUUACUAAAAUUUGCUUGACAAUAAACCCUUACUAAAACGGCAGCAUCCAUACCCUUUGCCUUAACAUGAAGGCAAGGCCUCAUUUGACUAGUUGCAUAAUUCUUGCCAUCCAGAGAAAUUUAUGCUAACAGAUUGGCAUCCAGGAUAAUUGUAAAAAAAUUAAGUUUGGUCAAUGGUAAUUAUCUCUCCAACUGAAAAUAUCAUAUCUCUGUCAAGUCUACCUAAUGAAAAAGGACAGACAGAGGAAUAGGAUAUCCAUGACAAUGAUUAAAGAUGGAAAGCAAUGUUAAAUGUGCUGAAAGCUCAUCAGCUUGGUUUUAAUUAGGACCAUCAAACGCCCCUGUUCAGCAGCUAGAGGACAUAGAUAAUAAAUCUUUCUGGCAACGCAUAAUGAAAAAGAUGUACAACUAAACUAUUAGCUAUGCAUCAAUAUCAAACUGGUCCAGUUCUACCCAGGUUUCUGGGUCAAGGCCCUGCCAAACUUCAAAGACAAGUGAAAGCGCAAAGGCUUUGCAUGCCAUGAAAACUGGUCCUGUGAUUCUUGUAAUAUGACACGAUUUGACCUGUCAAAAAACCAUUGACAGAAUGGUCGUAGGACGAAAGUUCUUUUAUGAAUUCAACUUCUAGAACAGGACAAAGAAAGUAGUACAAAACACAUCCUAGGCUCUAACUUUAACAUGCUUAUCCUAUGCCAAAAAGAAUAUUGACAAAUGUGAAAUGACUGCAAGCAAGCAAUGUAAGCACCCCAAGAAAACAGAGGCCACAUCGAAAAAAAAAACACAAGGAUUAGAACAUUGACACCCCAUUUUAACUUGUUUUCUAAACUACCAUUCCCCUUUUGCUUUUUCCCCUUUGAGCAGCAAUUUACAUUGUCUUCUUCAAAUUUGACGUUGCCAUUUGAGCAAUUCUUCUUAUCUUAACAAGCCCUCUUUCAUGGUACCAGAAACAAGUGGACAUUUUCUCUUGCUGUCUUCGUACUUGCCAGCAAGGGAAUCGAAUAGGAUUCCAGCACCAACACCAACAGCCAAAUCAAUGGUGUGACAACCCCUGGUACCUAGCAACCUCACAGCUUGAAGCACAUUCAAUGUAUCAAAUAACCAUGCCAAUUCCCAUCUACGCAUUCGCCUCAUUUCGAACGACGCAAUCACAGAUCCAGCAACAUGGCCCGAGAAGAAUAGGAAGAACGAUACAUUCCCUACUGGAAAAUCCACUCCUGAACCUACAAAUUCCUGUCAUUCCAUGAUUGAAUCAGCUGAUCAAACCCAAUAACCAACCAGAGUUAAGAAAAAGGGAUUACGACUACCCUGUUCCUGACAACUAUAGACAAAGACAAAGAUACCAUUGACAGUGUUGUUCAUUAUCUUCAGAAAUCAAUCAAACAUGAUCAUACCAAUUUUAUGGAAAUGAAAUCAAACAAUUCAAAUCAGGGAAGGAUAAGUUUUCAAAUGUUAAGAACCUGGGGUAAUGGGAGCUGCGUGGAGUAACCAAGAAUCCCACGACAAGUAAACAUGAACAAAGCAGAUAUUGUAGCCCUUGGCCGACACUCGAUUAGCCAUGUCCAUAGUAUAUAAACUGUCUGCACCCCUACAAACACCUCACCCCAAAACAUAUGUAUCCAAAGAUCAGAUCAUGCUUUUUGCUGUAAUCAAACUUUCUUAGAGAAAAGUUAGAAACCAUUCAAAGUUAUAUUAUAUAUUGACAUGUUAAAAAAGCUCUUAUGACACUUUUCAAUUUUUACCUAUACCUUAUGUCAAUGCCACACGAAAUAUAAAAUAUAAAUAAUAAUUUAAUUAAUAAUAAUUAAUAAAUUGGUAGUAAUAACAAAUUAUUUAAUUUAAAAUAAAAAUAUAAAAAUUUAACUAAUUGUAAUAAAAAAAUGACUUAUUUAAAUUUUUAAAAUAAUUUAAAGAUUUUUUUAAAUAUUAUAUUUCAAUAUAAUAAUUCUUAAUCUGAUACAUUUUUAAUUAAUUGCAUUUGAAGAAUGCAUAAGGGACUCAUAAAGGUAGAUCUAUAAGAUCUCCAUGUGUGGAAUCAAUUUUUUUUGCCUCUUUGUUUUUACUAAUAAAUACAUUGUGAUGAAAAAAAAAGCAAAAAGAAAUCAAUGAAAAUAUACUUGAAAAAGUUCAUGCAAUUUAUUCUUGAGGAAACAAUACUCAUGUUCUAAGAGCUCCAAAGCUCUCAGGCACCUUCAUUUGACAUGCUAAAACAUCUCUUUAGCCAUAUCUUAAAGUGGGUAAUGAGGUUGUUUCUGAUUAAAAAUAAAAUAGUGAAAGGAAACGGUAAACUUGGAAGUUGGAAAUGGAGUAGUAUAAAUGUUUUGACAUUAAAAAAAGGGGAUUUUUUUUUAUCUUUUAAAAAUAACGUGCUUUUGUAAAUAACCCUCAUGAUAAUUUUAACUGUUUUUAGCAAAAAGAAUAGAUUUUGGGACAAAAAUGCUCUUAAUGAGCCAUCUUCGUUAGCGUGCAUUAUCAAAUAGGUGGAAAAUAGGAAAAAAAAUAAAUUUGCAAAGAUUGGUUGUGCAAAAUACCUUUUUUUUUUUGCGAAGGUUGUGCAAAACAAAAUAAUGUUGCAUGAGAUGGGUUUUCAGAUAUUUGGGACAUGACAUUCAGAUAAUAGAAGAAGAGAGAUAUUAAAUCGAACGAGGAACCAGUCGUCAUGAAUGGAAAGCUUAGCUAAUGAUGUGAAACCAGAAAUCCUUGAUACGGUAGUGAAUUGAAAGGAGAAAGAUGUGAAUCCAAAGCAGGAAAUGGUCUUGCUAUAGCAAGCCAUAUGUGAGACAGUUGUCGCAGGGCAGGGUUUAGAGUUUGUGAAACGUCAUGUUGGGAAUGUGUGACACGGCACCGCUCAGAGUUGGUGAGACGCCAGAGUUAAGAGUUGGUGACACGUCAUGGUGAGAAUCUGUGACACGCCAACGUUCAGAGUUGGUGAGACGCCAUGGAGGGAAUCUGUGACACGCCAGAGUUAAGAGUUGGUGACACGACAUAGAGGGAAUCUGUGACACGCCAACGUUUAGAGUUUGUGAGACGCUAUGGAGGGAAUCUGUGACACGUCAAAGUUAAGAGUUGGUGACACGCUAUGGAGGGAAUCUGUGACAUGCCGGCAUUCAGAGUUCGUGAGAGGCCAUGGAGGGAAUCUGUGACAUGCCAGAGUUUAGAGUUGGUGACACGCCAUGGAGGGAAGCUGUGAUACUCUAGAGUUAAGAGUUGGUGACACACCAUGGUCAUGGUUUAAAGUGUGUGACACGGCAUUGCUUGAAAAGUUGACACGCCAUGGUCAUGGUUUAGAGUGUGUGACACGAUAGUGCUUGAGCAGCUGACACAUCAUGGUUUGAAAUAGAGAGAGGAAAAAAAAGAGGGCAGUUAACGUGGUAAUCGUUUAGACUUUCACUGAAUUAAUUCCCUUUUUUCAGAAUCAAUAAGAAUAUUAAAAGGCCAUUUUUCAUUUUAAACAAUUAUUAUUCAGAAUUCAUAACGUCUAUGUGAUUCAUUUCUCAUUCCAGCCGGUACCAGAGUGUUCGAAAAGGCUAUUUGAAAGCGUAAUGACACCACAGCACCAGCAACAAUGUCAACCAUGAAUGAAGAGGUCAAUGAGUCUCAAAUUAAAACAUUCUUGUGUUCGUUAAUUUUUUGGUUUUUCCUAGGUUUGUUUGAUAUGUUCGGGUUUUUUGUUUUGUUUUGCAAAUGUUUAGACUGUAUUUUCUUACUGGUUUGAUGGUUGUUGGGGUUAAGUCGUAGUGAUUUUAGGGGUUUUGGGUGUUUACCGUGUGAUGCCAUUGUUAUUAUAGUUAGUUAUUGACGCGUCAGCUUUAUAUGAUUUGAUUUGAUAUGCAUGGCAUGUGACAACAUUUUACUUGAUAUGCAUGGCGUGUCACAACAUUUUACUUGUUAUGCAUGGCGUGUGACAGCAUUUUACUUUAUAUGCAUGGCGUGUAACAACAUUUUACUUGUUAUGCAUGGCGUGUGACAGCAUUUUAUUUUAUAUGCAUGGCGUGUGACAGUAUUUUACUUGUUAUGCAUGGCGUGUCACAACGUUUAACUUGUUAUGCAUGAUGUGUCACAACAUUUUACUUGUUAUUCAUGACGUGUCACAACAUUUUACUUGUUAUGCAUGGUGUGUCACAAUAUUUUGCUUGCUAUGCAUGGCGUGUCACAACUUUUAUUCCUUAUUGCACAUGACGGCUUAACUCAUUGAUGCAUGUGUGCCAUGUUUUGUAGAUCCAGCGUAGAUAGUAUGAGGAUCUUGACAGUUUGCUAAUUGUGCCAAGGGAGAAGUGGGCGUUCAACGUUGCAAUUAACACCCACUGUAAGUGGUCGCAACUGCAUUACAUCACAAAGACUCUCCAACAGAAGGAGGAGUACGAUGCAGUUAAGCGUACCUGCUUCGAAAUGCUCCUAGACGUCUAUCCACAUGGGUACUUUUGUGCCGGUCUCCUGCACAGCAUCAUGAUUCAUCGGAUCAGUGAGAGCCAGUCAAUGGACCACGAGCUAUGGUUUGCCAUUGGCAAGAGCAAGGCGCGGCUAUCAAAGCAGGAGUUUUGCCUCAUCACCGGGGUUGAAGUUUGGUCCAAUGCCUGAUGUGUUCAAACGACCGUACGAGGUUGCUGUGGCAAGAAUUCAUGAUAGAUACUGGAACGGGCAGGAAAACAUUAAGCUGCAGGCUUUGCUUGAUACUUUCCGUGGGGGCAACUUCCAACGACCAAGAGACGCGACCAAGAUGGCACUCGUCUUGAUCGCGAAUAACAUUUUAUUUGGUCAAGACUACCGUAGACGGGUAGCACCUUGGUUGCUAUCAUUGGUGGAGGACAUCGACGAUUGGAAUGUCUUCCUAUGGGGGCACUAUUGUUGGAAGCUGACCUUGGACUACCUUUUGAAAGGGUUCGAAGUACCUGACUCAAGUGUGACAAAGGAAACUCGGUUACGCUACAACAUUUACGGAUUCGCAUGGGUGAUACAGGUACUAUCACUUAACAUUUUUCAGUUUCCUUUUGAAAAAAAAAUUUAUGGGUGCACUCGUUUAUGAUUUACGGUCUAAUAAUGAUUACAUUUGACAUGCAGUUUUGGGUAAUGGAGGUAAUUUCGGUCCUCCUAAAAAUAGUUGCCCCCUCUGGUCCAAAGAAAAACGUCUACCCAUGAAUGUGAAGAUGAGAUUGCAAUCAGAAGUCAAAAGACUUCUACAAUGCAAUUCAGAAGUUAGAGUCAUCUGACCAUAUGAGUGAACAGCUGCUAAUUUUUACGUUAUAUUUGUAUAAUAAUUUUCUCUAUUCAAUAAUGAUUUUAUUUGUUUAUUUGCAGUUGUGGGCAUUGGAGACGUUGUAACCCACCGCGGAUGAGGCCUUCCGGGAGUAUUUUGUGGACCUUGAUGUCUCGUUAUCGGAGGGCCACGAGUACGUGCUAAUAGGGCACAUGGAGGAUCGGUCGAAUUUAGGCUUAGGUGCGAGGCAGAAAAGGAGAAGCUUGAAGGAGAAAAGAGCUUCUAGUGGCACGAAGCGGAUGCACACCGCCGCUGCUUUAAUUGAUGAGCUGUCGGGCCCUGAGUUGAUGGACGAAGGGGACGACCAUGGUCAAGGCAGUGAACAGCCGAUAAGGACAAUUGUAAUGAUUUUGUGUUCUCCAAUUCCAUAUGUGAUUAUUGAAUAACAUUUCCGUGUUUGCAGUUGGACCAUGCACCGGCAGCUCCAGAACCACUCAUCGAUCCUCCUCAAACACAUAAAUGCCUCUAUGACAUCGUUUACCUUAGCUCAAACCACCUUUCAAAAUUCAAUUACUUCAGUUGUUUUCCACCAGCCUUCAAUAGUUUAUUUUUCAUAUUAAAAAUCACUUUCUAACAGUCCCCCAUGAUUUGAAAUCUGGUGCACUCCAAGAAGAGUUUUGAGCAUUUCAAAUCUCUCCCUGGAUAAACCUUUGGUUAAUAUAUCAGCUACUGAACCUCUGUAGUGCAAUGCUUGAGUUCAACCUCUUUUUCAUUCACUGCCUCUCCAAGAGCAUGAUAUUUUACCUUGAUAUGCUUGGUUCUCCCAUGAUGAAUUAGAUUUUUGGCUAUUGCAAUGGCAGAAAGAUUAUCAACAAAAAUCAUGGUGCUCUUAUCUUGUUUGAAACCAAGAUCAUUAAGAAUUUUCCUCAACCACUUCAACUAAUUUACAGCUGCUGUAGUUGCUAUGUACUCAGCUUUUGCAGUACACUGUGCAACAAUACUUUGCUUCGUUGAAUUCUAUGAGAAAAUUGCACUAUUGAAAGAAAAACAGAACCCAGUUGUGCUCUUAGAAUCAUCAAGUGACCCUGCCCAGUCACUAUCACUAUAUCCAACUAAAUCCCCACUCUCUUGUUUCAUAAACCUCAGGCCAAAAUCAGCAGUUAUUUUAAUAUACUUGAGGAUUUUUUUGGCAGCUUUAAAAUGUAACUGUGUAGGAGCUUACAUGAAUCUGGACAAUAAACAUGUAGCACACAUCAAAUCUAGCCUAGUUACUGCCAAAUACAACAAUGAACCUAUUAGACUUCUGUAAAUUGAAUCAUCAAUAGCUGCAGAACCAUCUUCUUUACAAAACUUAUUUCCAAAAGCUAGAAGAGUUGCUACAACCUUACAAGCAGACAUGUUGAAUUUCUUUAACAGAUCCUUGGCAUACUUAGUCUGAUGUAACCACACUUCUUCACCAGUUUGUAGAAUCUCCAUGCCUAAGAAAUAAGUCAUUAACCCUAGGUCUAUCAUUACAAACUCUUACAUCAUCUGGCUUUUAAACUCAAUCAAUGAAUCACCAUCAGGUCCAAUGAUUAGUAAGUCAUCCACAUAUACUGCAACAAUUAACAUUGCAGUAUUUUCAAGUAUCUUCACAUACAAAGUCGACUCAUUUGUGCUUUUUAGUAGACCUUGACUGGAAAAAUAAGCAUCUUCCUUGUCAUACUAGGCCCUGAGUACCUGUUUUAAGCCAUACGAUGCCUUAACCAGUUUACAAACCUUGUCCUCUGCCCCUGGUUCAACAUACCCUUCAAGGUGCUCCACAAAGACAUCUUCAGACAGAUUACCAUUUAGAAAAGCAGCAUUUACAUCCAAAUGGUAUAUCUUCCACCUUUCUUUAGUAGCUAAUGCAGCAAGCAUCCUAAUUGUGUCAUAUCUGGCAACCGGUGCAAAAGUUUCCAAAUAAUCAACUCCAUAAGUCUAAGCAUAACCAUUGACCACCAAUUUGGCUUUUAUAUUUGUUUAUUGAGCCAUCAGAAUUUAGCUUAGUUCUAAAUAUCCAUUUGACUCCUAUUAUCUUGUGAUAUGUAGGUCUGUCUACAAGUAACCAGGUAUUAUUUUUCUUUAUCAUGGAGAUCUCAGCAUCCAUAGCCUUUCUCCAGUUUUCAUCCACAACUGCUUCAGAAUAAGUGACAGGAUCAACAGUAGCAAGAUUACAUUUGCUGUAUAUAUCUUCCAAUGUCUUUGACCCUCUUACAGCUUUACUUUCAUCUUCAAUAUCAGAAUCAUCACUUUCCAACAUAAGUUGAUGAUUAUCCAAAUCUUGACUACCAGGAACAGGUUCUACAAUCUUUUUUUUCCAGUUCCAGAAAUGACUUUUAUUAAAGACCACAUCCCUACUUAUAACCACUUUGUUUGCAUCUAAAUCAUAUAGUCUAUAUCCUUUGGAUUUGUCACUAUAGCCAAUAUGCACAGCAAUAAAAGCUUUAACAUCAAAUUUUGAUCUCUUCACAUAAGGAAUUCAAGCAUAGCACAUACAGCUAAAGACUUUAAAAUGAAAGACAGAGGGUUUUUGUUCAUACUGGAUCUCAAAAGGAGUUUUGAACACCAAUUCUUUAAUGAUGUUUCUAUUUUGAAUGUAGUUGGUAGUGUUAACUGCCUCAACCCAAAAUUUCAUAGGGAGAUUACACUGUAAUAAUAAACACCUUGCCAUUUCAGCAACUGUUCUGUUUUUCUUUUCAGCCUUACCAUUCUGCUGUGGACUAUAAGCAACUGUUAAUUGAUGGUGAAUCCCAGCAGUUGACAAAAGCUUCUCAAAUUCAUUUGAAGUGUAUUCAGCUCCAUUAUCGGUCCUUAACACCUUGAUGCUUAGGCUAGCAAAGUUCUCAACUUGUGCUUUGAACUCAGAAAAACUCCUUAUAGCUUCUGAUUUAUUCUUCAAGAAGUAAAUCCAACAGUAAUUAGAGAAAUCAUCAAUAAACAGGAUAUAAUUCCUGCUUCCACUCAGUGAGGGAUUCUUCAUAAGACCACUCAAGUCAGUAUGAACUAGCUCCAACUUCUUUGUAACUCUCCAACUACUUUCCUUAGGAAAAGGUUUCCUGGUCUGCUUCCCAAGCUAAUAGACAUCACACAACUUCUCUGGUUUAACAAUGUUAGGUAGACCUAUUACAAGGUCUUUUGAAGUCAUUGUUGUCAGUGAAUUAUAAUUCACAUGACCAACUUGUUUAUGCCACAAUUCAGAUAAAUCUUUCUCAGCAUAGAGAGCUAGUUGUUUACUUUCAGACAAUUUCAUAGGAUAACAUUUAUUCUUCAUGCUCACAGUUAAUAAUUCAACACCAGCAGGAUCGAAUAUUGUGCAUUGCCUAUCUUUAAACAAUAAGGCAUAACCAUUAUCAUCUAAUUGACCUACACUAAGUAGAUUCUGAUCAGCUUCAGGCACAUAAUGCACAUCAUGAACAAACCUCAUACCAGAUGCAGUUUUUACUCCUAUGGUGCCUACUCCAAGUAUCUUCAUGUAUAGACCAUUACCUAUUUUCACACAAGCCCUAUAACUUUUAUCAAGCUCAGUGAAAAGAUUAACAUUACUUGUCAAGUGGUUUGAGCAGCCACUGUCAAUCAACCGGGUGCUCUUCUCAUCAAUCUCAUCAUUUGCCUUAGCCAUAAACAAUACCUCCUCAAAUUCAUCUUUUUCUUCAACCACUGCAGCCUUGCCUUCAACUUCUUGUUUCUUCGCUUUACACACUUUCUCCACAUGUCCAAGUUGCUGGCAAGAUCGACACCUCACAUGAGGUCUAUACCAACAGUACUUUGGAGUAUGAUUAGUCUUUUUACAGUGAGUACAGGGAGGAAAUUUAUCAUGACUCUUCCCUUGUUUUGCAGAUCCAGACUUAGUGCCUUUAGCACUAUUCUUCUUAGAACUUUCAGAUUUAGCUUUCAAACCCUUAGUUUUAGCUACUAAGGCAUUCUCAACAGAGUCUUCAUCCUUGAGGGCUUUUCUCUACUCAAAAGCCAAUAUAGUAGAGAUCAAUUCCUUUGAAUCCUCAAGUGAUGUCACUUUUGAUUCAAACUUGUCUGACAUACUCACCAAAAUUUUGUUGACCAUCCUUUGAUCAGUGACUUCUUGUCCCAACAUUCUGAGCUGAUUCACCAGCUUCAACAUCUUAUCCAUAUACUCUUGAAUACCCUCAUUUUCCUUCAUCUUCAUCACCUCAAACUGUUUCAAUAAAUUCAUAAUCUGUAUCACCCUUGUUUUGUCAUUGCCUUAAUAUUCUUCUCUGAUGUUAUCUCAUACUUGCUUAGGAUCCUCCAAAUGCAUAAUCUUGACAAAGAUUGACUCUGACACAGUUGACUGCAGGCUAAUCAAAGCCUUGUAUCUCUUUGCAACUUCCCCCGAGUGUUGCUUAAUCUGAGCUAAAGUCGGAUUAGCAUGCCUUUGAAUAGGCAUCUCACUAGACUCCACCACAUCCCAUGGGUCGAAUGCCUUAAGAUAUGAUCUCAUCUUCACUGCCCAGAAAGGAUAAUUAACACCAAUGAAUACAAGAGGUGCAGUUGCACUAAUUCCAACUAUUGCCAUAUAGAAAUUGAAGAUGAUACGAUCAAAAGCAAAAUGUUACAGGUCCCUUGAGAAAAAACACUCUGAUACCAUGUAAAAGAACUCGAUUUUCACUGACAGAGGCUAAAUAAGAAAAUGAAAAAGAAAGAGAAGAAUAGAGUAUCAGCUUAGAAGUAAAAUGAGAAUUUCAUUGAUCAAGAAGAUAUAUAAAAAACAACGGCUACAAGCAAAUAUAUUCACUACUAAGAGCUGUUCCUUAGAUGUAGCCUUGAAAAACCUAACAAAAUCGGAUCGAAGCACAGAAAACGGAAGGAGAGCUUUCUAUUGCUCUAACAGUCAAAAAACAAAGAACAAAGAAAAUAACAACCAAAUGACCAUUCGACUAACAAAAACGACACUCAUGAAGAACGUUUUACAAGAAAAAUUAAAAGACUAGUGAAACGACACUAAUGGUCAUCGUUUCACAAACUUAAAACACUUAAAUGCCUUUACGACAUUGUUUUACGUAGCUCAAACCACCUUUCAAAAUUCAUUUACUUCAGGUGCUUUCCAUAAGCUUUCAGUAGUUGAUUUUUUAGAUUAAAGAUCACUUUCCAACAAAUUCUUCUUUGUUUCCUUUUUGUUGGGUUUCACUCUUUCCAGGGUUUAAGGUUUUGAGUUCUUUUGCUUUCUAGUGGGAAGCUCACACGCCUCACGGUUCACAACUAUUUAAAGCGUGAGAGUUUAGCUUGGGCCCUAAACUCAUACAAUACAACGGUAAAUAUUAAAAAAAAACACUAGCCAAUACGUUCAAAUAUUUUAAACAGCUAAAAUAUUCUACUCCUAAACAUAGAGCGUGGACUUACCCACAACCCUAUUUGGUGGAGCUAAGGUAUAAAAAUAAUUCACAAGUACUUAUAGGCAAAGGAUAAAGUUGUUAGAAUACAGAAAAUAUUAGGAAAUGGUUUGAAGGGGUGUAUUUAUCUCAUUUUCUUAAAAUUUUUAUUCGGAUUCAUUAUUGGUGUGCAAAAGAGUUUUUUAGGAUAAACUUUAAAUACACAAUAAGUUCAGUCAUUGACUACAUUUUGUAUGGACAAAAUUAAUUCGCUGAACAUUUAUUAAUAUAUGACAAGAUUAUUAAAUUUUUUAUAGAAUUUUUCUAUAGCAAAACAAUAUAGAAGCAAUUCAAAAGAAUUUGAAGGAGAAAGUGAUUGUAAGUUGUUUCUUUGUUGAUAUAAUUUCAUAAAAACCAACAAAUUUUAUUUAUAAACAAAUUUAUGUCUCUUUGUUCAAAGUUAAUCAACCCUUUGAACAAAUAUAGUUGUUUGAGCAAAUACAACUAUUCAACCAAAUCAGGGAGACUGCAUUAAUUAUGUCAUUUUUCUAUAAAUGUUACGUUAACUUAUAUUAAUCUAGGGUGAGCAACAUUGUAAGGUUAUCAUGGAUCGUGGUGGACCAAUGGGUUUGGAUCGAUUUUAAGGUGAUCUUGUGACUUAACGAGUGAUCCAUGAUUCAAAUUUUGUAUGGCCGACACUUUUAAGGUGGUCCAUUGUCCUAGACAUUUUAUCUAUUUACCCAAGAUUAAAAGACUAGACUUGUUCCUACGGUUUAGUCCUUCUGAAAUUGAGUCUUGAAUCAAUUCUAAACUAACAAUCAUUUAAAAAAUUAUAUAAAAAAUUAUAUAAAAAAUAAGAUAAAUAUUUAGAAAUUAUAAGACUUGAACUCAUAAUAAGAAAGAUGCUGUUUUAAAAGAUCUUAACCAUAUUAAGUUAAAGAGUUACAUAAUAUUAAAACAUUUAUAUCCAAUACAAACAAUAAAUGAAUAAAUAAAAAAUCUACCAACAGCACCAAACAAAAUGUAAGACUUUUAAAGUAUUGUAACUUAAAAAUAAAUGUGACCUAUAGCGCGGAUAUGUAUGAAUUUUUCUUAUAGUAUUUAUGAAUUUGAUAUACUAUUUGAGUGUAAUAUUAUUAUUUUUUAAAUAAUUAUAAGAAUUCUUAAUCGUAUCAAAUCAUAAGCUUAAUCAUAGAGUUAACCUUACAAAAAUAUGACCUAAUCCACGAUUAAAAUUUUUUAAAACUGAUCUUAUACAAGUGAUGUAUAAUCAUGACUUUAAAAAAAUCCACCUAAACCAUGCAGUAGCGAAGGGAAUGGGCCGUUAGUAGGGUUCCCGUCUCACAAAAGUUUUAAAAUUUCAUAAUUUACCUUUUGAUUUUUUUAGAAUUUUAUCCUUACAAUAAUUUUUUUGUUUAGUGAAAUGCUUUAUAGUAAUUAGUCAACAAUUAAUUUUAAUAGACUUAAAGAUUAAAUAAAAUCUAUUGUAGAAGAAUUAUUCCCUAAGCCACAUUGUUCUAAGAACUUAGGAUCAACUUAGCUCUUGUCUGUCCCUUCAAACACGAAAUUCUUGCUCCGUCACUAAAAAAUGCUCACCUCUAAAUUAUUAGAAGACAAAGACAACCAUUUUCCUAAUUUCAAUAAUAAUGAGUGAAAUGAAAUUGCAACUAGACAUGUAGUGGUACCUUGGGUAUGGGGUGUGAGGUCUACAUGGAGUAAGAGAGAGUGAGUAAAGGCAUGGGGGUGAAAGAGAGGGUGUGCAAAGUGGGUCCAAAUCAAGGCAUGGAGGAAAUAGCCAGGAUUUGAGUCAAAUUAUCAAAGCACAAAAAUAUAGGUGUGAUUUUCUUCACUUUGCAUUAUUGGGCCAUCAAUAUGAGCUUGUUUCAUUAUGAUUUUUGUUGAUUCUCUCAUUUAGUAUCUACUCCUCCUCCUAAGUAAUGACAGGAGUCAAUACUGUAUAAUUAUCAUUUUGGAAGCAAAUUCUUCUGAUAUCAUGGAACUGUUUUAACUUUUAAAUCAAGCAACUUGAAUUGAAUGGCAUCACUUUUUAAGACAGCAGAUAACAUUCCCUUCCCUCCAGGCUCCAACAUUCAGACCAGUUAAUAGCUUAUAUAUAUAUAAUAUUAAUUUGAUGUAGUUGCCAACGUUGACAUAUCUAUAUAUUGAAAUCAAUAUUGUAAAUUAUAAUAUCCUUAACACUGAUGGAGUAAUUAUGCCAACUAUGGAAUUCUUAAAUUCUACUCCAGAAAGUGGCAGGGGGCCUGCAACAAAAUACUCAGGUAGAUGAUGAGGUUUACAAUUAUUUUACAUAUUCUCCAUUGGAGAACGAAGCAUGUCAAUUUGUUUACAGGAACCACGACAUUCUCACUUGGAAAAGCAUGAUUUCUAUUGACGUAAGCAAAACCUUCAUCUCUUUCUUAUGAUGCUUCUGUUUUAUCAGAUUAAUUAUUACUAUAUAUCAGAUGCAUUUGUUUUUUCUUCUCUAUCAGCCUUUCAAACAAAAGAAACCGAUCUUUCAAAAAACCAGAUUCAAACAACCAAAAACCAAGCCACAAUUUUCUAUCAAAAAAAUCAAAGAAAACACCCUAAUCUAGCAACCACAAUUACAAUCCACAAUAAAAGAAAACCAAAAUAAAAUAUAUAUAAAAAAAUACACAUGGAGAAAGGAGAGAAACAGAGUGAGUUUGGGGGAUUUUUUGGUUUGGGUUUCUAGGAAUAGAUUUUUAUUUUUAUUUUUUGGUUUAUUGGUUGAAGCUUAAAGGAAGGAAGAGUUUAAGGAGCUAUUACCGCCGGUUUAGGAGAGAAAGAGAGGCUUGAAACGGCGUCGGAUAGGGAAAGUUAUUGGGCUUGGGUGCGUUGCCAGUAGGAAAGGAAAAAGAGGGUUACCGUCGGUCGGUUACAAAGGCAAAGGAGGGAGGCUUUGAGUGAGGAAAGAGAGCUGGUGAAAGAGCAGAGAAAAAGCGUUCAGAGAGAAAAAGGUAACUGGUAGAAGAGAAAGAGGAAGAAGAAAAAAAAUAAUAAGAAGUCAGCUUGGGAGGGCCUCUAAACGACGCUGUUCUUGAGUACCUGGGAGAGGCUGCUACCAGAGCUCCAGAUUGGAGUGUUUUGGGAAGCACGGUGGGCUAAGGACACGGGCUUGGGUGCUUACAAACAAAUCAAUUAUUUUGGGUUACUGUCUAAGCCCAAACAAGGUAAAAUCCUUUCCUUUAUUAUUUACAUGGAUAUAUUGCCUAGCCCAAUAUUGAGUUGAGGAAUAUUAAAAGUUAAAAAUAAUUAUAAAUAGNNNNNNNNNNNNNNNNNNNNNNNNNNNNNNNNNNNNNNNNNNNNNNNNNNNNNNNNNNNNNNNNNNNNNNNNNNNNNNNNNNNNNNNNNNNNNNNNNNNNNNNNNNNNNNNNNNNNNNNNNNNNNNNNNNNNNNNNNNNNNNNNNNNNNNNNNNNNNNNNNNNNNNNNNNNNNNNNNNNNNNNNNNNNNNNNNNNNNNNNNNNNNNNNNNNNNNNNNNNNNNNNNNNNNNNNNNNNNNNNNNNNNNNNNNNNNNNNNNNNNNNNNNNNNNNNNNNNNNNNNNNNNNNNNNNNNNNNNNNNNNNNNNNNNNNNNNNNNNNNNNNNNNNNNNNNNNNNNUAUAUAUAUAUAUAUAUAUAUAUAAACAACAUGAUACAAAUAUAAAAAUUAUGAAAAAAUGAAAUGACUAUUUGAGAGAUUUUACCUAAAAAGGGCAAAAAGUUGCUUCUUUCUGGUGGAUUUCUUAGGUACGGAGUUCGAGAUGAAUUUUCAUCGAAGUGUCAGGAUAAAUCCGAAUUCUAUACUCCGAUACCCAUUAGUCCGAACAAUUGUUAUUUAAAAUAAUAUACAUAAAAAAUAAUAUAAUAAAAAUAAAUAUAUAAAUAAGGCAAUAAAUCAUGUUAAAUUAUCAAACAUGUUAUUAUUACUAACUAACUAAUUAAUAAACGUGGUCAUGUAGAUAUUAUCAUUUUAUAUUGUCAUAGCAUGCCACGUGUAUUUUGUUAAUGGGACGAGAACUCCCAUGAUGGGAUUUCCUCGAAAGACUUUUAGAGACGAGUUUUUUUCGGGGGAUAUCCAUAGGUGAGGAAAACUUCGAGACUUCACCAAAACGUUAGGAUGGUCUACGAACGAUUUUUCAAUAAAAGACUAUUGCUCUCAUUAUUCAAAAUUGAAUAAAUCAUGACAUCGUUUUACAACUGCAUCAUGUGCAUCCGUGAAGCCGAAUAAAAGGCUCAAUCAGCUAAUGUAAUAAAAAAUUAAUUAAUAAGCAAGGAUUAAGGAAAUAUAUGAAUAAAAUCAAAAGUAGGCUACAAUAUGAUAACUUAAGAUUAAAUAGUACCAUUUGUGGAACGGACGUCACGAAUGUGCUAACCCUUCUCCGUGCGUAACCAUACUCCCUAACUCGUUUUUAAAAAUCGUAGACCAGUUCUCUUUUUUUUGAUGGAUUUAAAAUUAAUUUGGAAUUUAGUCGUUUAAAAUCGAGUUAAUAGGUGACCAAUCGUACCUUUAAAAACCGAUUGGUGACGACUCAUAAUUUGUUUUUUCACCAUGUCUAACAGUCAGAUUUUUGAACCCGCACGUUAUAACAAGCUCAACUUGGAUUAGAGGUUUAAUUUAAGUCAAUAAAGGGUACCAAGCAAGCAAGCCAAGCCAAACCCAGCCUGCUUAAUUUUCUACACAAUGGGCACCCAAAAGCAAACCAUUGCUGGGGCCUGGGCUUGCUGGGCUCAAGUUUUACCACAUGCUUCAACCCUAGCUCAACUUAAAUUGAAGUUGACAUGCCAUAGUGAAAUGUUGUAGUAUCAAAGCUUAAGAGCUGGGAAAAGAGGUAAAAAUAAUCUGUUGAUUAUAUGGACCUUUAGCUCAGGUCAAGACGAUUGAUUUCUGUAUAGAUUAUAUGUAAUUACAUCAGAAGUCGGGCCAUAUAACUAAAGAAAUGUAGUUCACAGCUAGAGUCCUGAUGGUGCGGCAGUACCAGAAGCAACAAAUGUAGUCCAUUCACCUAAAUAAGUAUCUCACCAUGGUUAAGCAAACACCUUUGAAGUCCUAAAGAUUAAAGACUAGUCUCCAAUGCGGACACCUCAGCUGCUGAAAGCCAUCCUUUUCUUCUGAACUUCAGUAGGUAGCUUAACCUCAGUUGCCAGUCCGAUAACUUGAAGAAAUUUGAUUACACACCAAGCCAUGUCCAGUUGCCACCAUUCCAGACCAUGUCUGGCUGAGUAUUUGAAAGCAUGGUGGUUAUUAUGCCAACCCUCUCCAAAUGAAAGCAAUGCCAUCCACCUGAAAAAGUUUGCAGAUAUUUUUAUCAGUAACUUCUUAAGAAAUAAACUUGACAAGAACUAGAUGUAUAUUAGUACAAGGGAAGUCAAU
rnacentral:lncRNA from 1 species